rnacentral:piRNA from 1 species
UCAGAAGGGGAGCCCUAAGGGCCA